AAAACGCAUUUUUGAAAAAAAUGAAACCUGUUAAGUGAUUGUAACUCAAGUAAAACAUGAUUUUUACACAAUCAACGAAACAUGAUUUUAACACAAUCCCUUUUGUAUUAUGGCACAACGACUAAAUAUAUAAGUUUAUAUUAUGUUGAAGUAUACCUUAUCCCCAGUGAUUUAACAUCAAAUCGAUUAUAUAAGAUCGAUUAUUACCUUAUUCAUCGAUCACCUAAGGUCGAUAAAUGAAGUUUUUCUUAUUUCUGUUAUGAUUUAAAUAUAUUUUUUUAUUAUAAUUGGUACCAUAUUAUGUUGUGAUAUCAUUUAAUACUAAAUACUUAACUCAAUUUUUUAUCAAAAGUUUAACAAAAACCUUUCUAUUUAAUUAUAGUAUGCCCUGCCAUUAACUGGAUGUAGCAUAAUUACUAGUCUUUUAAUUGAAGAAUUGUUUGAAUGGGUCAAUGAAUAAAAAUCUUUUAAUUUUAGUAAUUAUUUAUAUUCUAAGUGAAAAUACUUAGAAUCAGUAUUAAGACGAGAAGACCCUAAAAGCUAGAUUACUUUGUUGGGGCAACAAAGAAUGAGACUUUCUUAUAGGCAUUUUUUCUACAGUUACUUUAGGGAUAACAGCGUAAUAUUUCUAAUAUUAGAAAGAGUACGACCUCGAUGUUGAACUAAAAGAGGUUUAAAUUUAUAAGUUUAAACUAUAAAACUGUUCGUUUUUAAUCUUUUACGUGAUUUGAGUUCAGACCGGGGCGACCCAGGUCGGUUUCAAUCUAAUUAAGAAUAAAUUAGUUAUAGUACGAGAGGAAUUAGUUAAGUUUAAUAUUAAAUAUUAUCCUGUCAUGAUAAAGAACUUCUAAUUCUGCCUCUAUUAAGCACCUUGCACUUUUCUUGUAAAAAAGAU
rnacentral:rRNA from 1 species